GUUGGGGUGAUCACGGCAUGAGGAGCCAU
rnacentral:piRNA from 1 species